AACGCUAGCUACAGGCUUAACACAUGCAAGUCGAGGGGCAGCAUGAAGUCAGCUUGCUGACUUUGAUGGCGACCGGCGCACGGGUGAGUAACGCGUACCUAACCUGCCUCUGUCUCGGGCAUAACCCGGUGAAAACCGGACUAAUUCCCGAUGUUGUUCCUUGACGGCAUCAGAUUGGAGCCAAAGAUUUAUCGGACAGGGAUGGGGAUGCGUCUGAUUAGGUAGUUGGUGAGGUAACGGCUCACCAAGCCUUCGAUCAGUAGGGGUUCUGAGAGGAAGGUCCCCCACAUUGGAACUGAGACACGGUCCAAACUCCUACGGGAGGCAGCAGUGAGGAAUAUUGGUCAAUGGCCGGAAGGCUGAACCAGCCAAGUAGCGUGAAGGAUGAAGGUUCUAUGGAUUGUAAACUUCUUUUAUGAGGGAAUAAAACCUCCCACGUGUGGGAGCUUGUAUGUACCUUAUGAAUAAGCAUCGGCUAACUCCGUGCCAGCAGCCGCGGUAAUACGGAGGAUGCGAGCGUUAUCCGGAUUUAUUGGGUUUAAAGGGAGCGUAGACGGGGGAUUAAGUCAGCUGUGAAAGUUUGAGGCCCAACCUUAAAAUUGCAGUUGAUACUGGUUUCCUUGAGUGCGGUUGAGGUGUAUGGAAUUCGUGGUGUAGCGGUGAAAUGCUUAGAUAUCACGAAGAACUCCGAUUG
rnacentral:rRNA from 1 species